GACGAACGCUGGCGGCGUGCUUAACACAUGCAAGUCGAGCGGUAAGGCCUUUCGGGGUACACGAGCGGCGAACGGGUGAGUAACACGUGGGUGAUCUGCCCUGCACUCUGGGAUAAGCCUGGGAAACUGGGUCUAAUACUGGAUAUGACCUCAGCAUGCAUGUGCUGGGGUGGAAAGCUUUUGUGGUGCAGGAUGGGCCCGCGGCCUAUCAGCUUGUUUGUGGGGUAAUGGCCUACCAAGGCGACGACGGGUAGCCGACCGGGGAGGGUGACCGGCCACACUGGGACUAAGACACGGCCCAGACUCCUCCGGGAGGCAGCAGUGGGGAAUAUUGCACAAUGGGCGGAAGCCUGAUGCAGCGACGCCGCGUGAGGGAUGAAGGCCUUCGGGUUGUAAACCUCUUUCGGCAGGGACGAAGCGUGAGUGACGGUACCUGCAGAAGAAGCACCGGCUAACUACGUGCCAGCCGCCGCCGUAAAAC
rnacentral:rRNA from 1 species